CUUUAGGUCUUUUUUGUAAUUCUUUCAUUCUUUAUAUCAUUUUCUAGAUCAAUUUUUUUUUUUGAAGGAAUUAGGCUUUUGGAAAAUUGAAAUUGUUUUGUUUUGUUUGAUUUUGUUAGGGUUUUAGACUGAUUGGUAUUUGGUAGGUUGCGGUUCGAUUUUGUUGAAUGUUUUCGUUUUUGUUCUCGUUUCUAGUUUUUUGUUCGUCAUUUGUUAAUCUUCGCCGGUCAGUUUUUUUGAACUUCUUCAUUUGUUGUUCAUCGGCAGCGAGCAGGAUAGUGAGUCUAUGAGUUUGGGCAGAUGGUGCUUCUCCUUCUAAGGGUUCAUAUCAGAUUAUCAGUAGCAACGAGUAGUACCAGUAGUACUGGAAAAAGUAUCGAGUCAUUAUUAUGCAGACUUGUGUAUCGGAUGUUCAUCUCUCUUGAAUAUUGAUGAAGAGGUAAUGAUAUGGUAACUACGUACUCGUUGCUAAUAGGCCCACUAUAAGUUGCAGUAAUUUGCUAUUCAUUUCUUUUGUUGCCACUAUGAACAUUAUGCUAAACUUUUGGAGAGAUUUUUCAGGUUCAUAUCUUCUGUGAAUGGUCAAGAAUUGUGCAUUCAUUAGGCAUAUUUUGGUUCUAAUACAAGCUAUAUAGCAUCUUCCUCCCAUUCCUUGGUUCCAACCUUCAAUAAAAAAGGCAUUUAAGUUGUAUUUAGCUAUUGUGAUUUCAUUUGUGGUUAAACACUGCUGAUUAUACUUUCCUUCAAUCCGUAGUUGAAAUCAUCAGGUAUAACUGGAAAUAGUUUGGCUGAUGCUUCACUUGUGGAUUCACUUGUUAUUUAUUCCCAACUCAAUAAAUUUGCAGGAGCAUGUGGCCUCAUCAAUUGAGAAAGGUAUCAAGGAACAAAUAGAUUUGCUUGUGGUUUGCCGUGGAGGUUUGAGUUCGUUGCAACAACUUGACCAGCCACACUCUGAAGGUUUGAUUGAUUGUGUUCAGGUAAUGCACUAAAAUCCUUGUUUUAGGAUUUUUAGAAUUGGACCUAUCAUGUGAAGUUUUAAAGAGGCCAUGAAUGAGCCUUUGGUUUUAUGUGCUGGUGGAAUUAGUUGGAGAUGGAUAGGAUUCCCUCUAAUGUGAAAUUAUUUGGUAUAUAUGCAUAAUGCGUUGAUAUGA